AGAGUUGUAUCCUGGCUCAGGAUGAACGCUGGCGGUAUGCCUAACACAUGCAAGUCGUACGAAAGUUUUUUAACUUUAGUGGCGGACGGGUGAGUAACACGUGAGAAUUUACCUUUAGGAGGGGGAUAACAAUUGGAAACGAAUGCUAAUACCCCAUAUGCUUUUGAGUGAAAUGGAUUUAUCCGCCUAGAGAGAAGCUCGCGCCUGAUUAGCUUGUUGGUAAGGUAAGAGCUUACCAAGGCGACGAUCAGUAUCUGGUUUGAGAGGACGAUCAGACACACUGGAACUGAGACACGGUCCAGACUCCUACGGGAGGCAGCAGUGGGGAAUUUUCCGCAAUGGGCGCAAGCCUGACGGAGCAAUACCGCGUGAGGGAAGACUGCCUAUGGGUUGUAAACCUCUUUUUUCAGGGAGGAAUAAAAUGACGUGUACCUGAAGAAUAAGCAUCGGCUAACUCCGUGCCAGCAGCCGCGGUAAGACGGAGGAUGCAAGUGUUAUCCGGAAUCACUGGGCGUAAAGCGUCUGUAGGUUGUUUAAUAAGUCAACUGUUAAAGCUUGAAGCUCAACUUCAAAAUUGCAGUCGAAACUAUUAGACUAGAGUAUAGUAGAGGUAAAGGGAAUUUCCAGUGGAGCGGUGAAAUGCGUAGAUAUUGGAAAGAACACCGAUUGCGAAAGCACUUUACUGGGCUAUUACUAACACUCAGAGACGAAA
rnacentral:rRNA from 1 species